rnacentral:sRNA from 1 species
ACACCGAAAUCGACUGGAGCACGUAUAUGCAACAAGUCGAGUGCUACGUGAACAAGGGGAUCCUCAACUACACGCAAAUCGGCGGUGACACGGGUCCCUGCGUCUACCCGGCCGGCCAUCUCUUCGUCUUCCGCUUGCUCCACUUUUUCACGAGCUCCGGCCGCAAUAUCCGCGCGGCUCAGCACAUUUUCCAAGGAUUCUACAUGUUUAAUCUAUUUAUGGUCUUUCGAAUCCUUCACAAGACUAUGCGGAUCCCGCCGAUCGUGCUGCUUCUCGUGUCGAUCACCGGCUAUCGGAUACACUCGAUUUUCGUGUUGCGGCUCUUCAACGAUCCUCUAGCUAUGAUGCUCUUCUACGUGGCAAUGGAUCGGUUUUUGGAGCAAAAAUGGCUUGUCGGAUGUGUUUUUUAUAGGUACCAGGUGCUUGCUCAUGGAUCCGAAAAAAUCGAUAUAUUUCCAGCCUGGCAGUAUCGAUUAAAAUGAACGUGUUGCUUUUCGCGCCGGCGCUGUUCUUCACACUUUUGCUCAACAAUAGUUAUAUGGCGACGUUGGGAUAUUUGACAGUUUGCGGGUAGGUUUGGCCACCCCGUGGCUGCGGAAAUUCUAGGCCACCAUGGGGUGCAGCCCGUGGCUUAGCUUCAUAGGUUUCUAUGCCAUCAGCUUCAAGUCUGUGACCUAGUUUUCUAGAUUUCUAGGCCAGGAACUUCAACUCCAUGGCCUAGUUUUCGAGAGCUCUAUGCCACCAAUUUCAAGUUUGUGGCCUCGUUUUCUAGACUUCUCGGCCAUCAAUUUGAACUCCGUGGCCUAGUUUUCUAGAUUUCUAGGCCGUCAACUCGAACUCUGUGGCCUAGUUUUCAAGAGCUCUAGGCCACCAAUUUCGAGUUCGUCGCCCAGUUUUCUAGUAUUCCAGGCCACCGAUUUUAAAGUUCGUGUGGCCUAAUUUUCAAGAGCUCUAGGCCACCAAUUUGAACACCGCGGCCGAAAUUUCUCUUCCGUGGCCUAAAAUUCUCCACACAUUUUCAGGCUAAUCCAACUGUACGUCGGUGGCCCAUUCCUCCUCUACGACUGGAAAUCGUAUCUGCAACAAUCCUUCGAUUUGGGCCGAGUUUUCAUGUUCAAAUGGACUGUCAACUGGCGAUUCUUGCCCGAAGAGGUACCCCCCCCCGCUGGGGUUACUGUAGUUUUUUUUUGGGAAAAAUUCCGAUUUUUUUUUGCAGUUUUUCCUCGACAAGCGAUUCCACGCGGCACUUUUGGUUGGGCAUUUGACGUUUUUGGCGGUUUUCGCGUCGUACAUGUGGUUUAGG